AGCAUUCUCCUACUCCUAAACCACCAGUUCAUAAACCACCAAGAUAUCCUCCUAAACCAUCACCUUGUCCACCCCCAUCAUCAACACCAAAACCACCUCAUCAUCCCAAACCCCCAGCAGUACACCCACCACAUGUUCCAAAACCACAUCCACCUUAUGUUCCAAAACCACCAAUUGUUAAACCUCCAAUAGUACAUCCACCUUACGUACCAAAACCCCCAGUUGUGAAACCACCACCAUAUGUCCCUAAACCACCUGUUGUGAGACCACCCUAUGUUCCUAAACCACCAGUUGUACCUGUAACACCACCUUAUGUUCCUAAGCCACCAAUUGUUUUCCCACCACAUGUUCCUCUACCUCCAGUUGUACCAUCACCACCACCUUAUGUACCAACACCUCCAAUUGUGAAACCACCAAUUGUUUUUCCACCACAUGUUCCUCUACCUCCAGUUGUGCCUGUAACACCACCUUAUGUGCAACCACCACCUAUUGUAACUCCACCAACACCAACACCUCCAAUUGUGACACCACCAACACCACCUAGUGAAACACCUUGUCCUCCACCACCACUUGUACCUUAUCCACCACCACCAGCACAACAAACAUGUUCCAUUGAUGCUUUGAAGUUGGGUGCAUGUGUUGAUGUGCUUGGUGGACUCAUACAUAUUGGUAUAGGUGGAAGUG
rnacentral:lncRNA from 1 species